rnacentral:rRNA from 1 species
UACAGAGGAUGCAAGCGUUAUCCGGAAUGAUUGGGCGUAAAGCGUCUGUAGGUGGCUUUUUAAGUCCGCCGUCAAAUCCCAGGGCUCAACUCUGGACAGGCGGUGGAAACUACCAAGCUGGAGUACGGUAGGGGCAGAGGGAAUUUCCGGUGGAGCGGUGAAAUGCGUAGAGAGUACGGAAAGAACACCACGGCGAAAGCACUCUGCUGGGCCGACACUGACACUGAGAGACGAAAGCUAGGGGAGCGAAUGGG